UACACAUGCAUGUUCGAUAUAUAAACUAAGCGGUUAUCGAAAUGACACUUUGAGUCACUGAGUUGACUGCGCUGAUAUGUGAAGAUACUGUUUAGAGACUGUCUAGAAUCUACAUACUGUAAAACUGUCUAAAGUUCAAGAGUAUUUUCCUUUCUCAACAUUUCUAUAUAUAAUACAUUAUUUCUACAUACACGAAAUUCUUAAGUAAUAAAUCAAAAUGAGAAAACUGAUCCUUUGCUUUGUGCUCUUCGCAAUAACUUCAGUUUUGACUCAGGAAAACUGUGCUGGAUUCCUUCAGCGAUGUAACGAUACCAAUACUUGUUGCCGCUAUUUUACUUGCCAACCAAAUGCUAUAUGCUGGUUCACUCCUCCUCCUCCUCCGCCAAUUUUUUCAAAAAGAAAAAAGUGACUAGAAGAACCUAUCGAAUAAUUAUAAAUUAUAGCUCAACUUUUCUGUAGAGAGAAAAACAUUUGAUAAAAUAUUUAAGUUCAAUGCAUGUUAAUCAAUUUUAAUGGAGUCUUCUUGUAAUUCAAAUAAAGGUCACGGUGGUUGUUUAACU